GCGAAAACUUUACAAUGCUGGCAACAGCGAUAAGGGAACCUCGAGUGCCAGGUUACAAAUCUGGCUGUCGAGAUGCCUAAAAAGCAUUUCAUAGCAAGGGCAGGGCAAGACCGGUGCCAGCCGCCGCGGUAACACCGGCGGCUCGAGUGGUAACCGUUAUUAUUGGGUCUACAGGGUCUGUAGCCGGCCGGAUAAGUCUCUUGAGAAAUCUGGCAGCUUAACUGUCAGGCUUUCAGGAGAUACUGUCUGGCUCGAGGCCGGGAGAGGCGAGAGGUACUUCAAGGGUAGGGGUUAAAUCUUGUAAUCCUUGAAGGACCACCAGUGGCGAAGGCGUCUCACCAGAACGGACCUGACGGCAAGGGACGAAAGCUAGGGGCUCGAAUC
rnacentral:rRNA from 1 species